rnacentral:lncRNA from 1 species
CUCGAUCCAACCUAAAAGUCCAUCUGAAAAGAACCCAAAAAUCCAUUUGAAAGUUAGAAUUUAGGUAAAAAUAUGACCUCAAAAAAAUAGGGAGAAUAGCAUGGCUUAACAGGUUGCCCUUUUUUCUUUUCCUGAUUUCCUCAACCGGCCCUCCCAAUAGUCCCUAACAUUAACGCCUUUAAGUCCCUUCUCCACUCCAACACCCACCGGCCACCGCCAUCAUCGUUACCACUCCGGCCACCACCGAUCCACCACACACCCACUGGUCCAUCAUCGUUCACCAAUCACCACUAUUGCUUCUUGACUGAGAAACCGAAGGUAACAACCCUUAUGGCGAUUGAUAUAGCUUGAAGCCUUGGGUCUCCUUUUAAGUCCAUUCUCAGUCGCAAACAUUUCCACCAUUUUUGAACUUUUUUUUCUUUCAACUCUAUUUGUUUUAAAGCUCUGCCUUUGAUUUAUAGGAGGAGGAAUAAAAAAAAAAGGGUUCUCUUUUCCCUCCUAAAAAUUGAACUAAAAAGAUGAAAUCUUGUGUUAGUUGCAAUUGUUUAAUGUUUAUGCUUGAGAUAUAUAUACACACAGAGAUAGAAACUAUUCACCCUGGUUUUUGCCCAUAUAUAUAUAUACACCAGCCAUGGAUUUCGUCUCUAAGCUUCUCCUUAUAGUGCCUAAUGAUACUUAUUUUCUCUCCACUAUAGUUGCGAUUUCUAAGUGGGAUUUCAGAUGUAUUAUCUUAUCUUCAGAUCUAUUUUGUUUAUGGGUUGUUCUGAUUUGAAUUUUAUCAUGCUCUAAAACAAUUAUGAUUUUCGGGAUUGAUUACCUUUUGUGGGUAUCUCUUGGAUUUUUGCAUCUUUCCCUAUGAAAUUCUAGAAAAAUUGUUUCAUUUUUGUUUGGGAUUAUAAUUCCUUUGUUGCAUCUUCAACAAUUCUAUGAAGCCAUAUUGUGGUUUUUGUUAUUUAGGAGUUAAAAAUUUCGACAUUAUUGGUUUUUCUUGAACCAAAAUUUAAGUUAAUUAUUCGUGCCGAACCAAACUCAAGUCUGUUAAUUAGGCUUAAAAUUUUGAUUGGACUCCUCAUGAUACCUCUAUUUUAACUAUAUACAUUUAUCAUUAUGAACAUAGAAACUCUUCUGAGUUGACUUUUUGUUUUUGUUCUUUUUGCAGGAUCGCUUAAUAUCUUCAUCAAGAUCUUCAAAAAUUGCGUCUUGGCAUCCUUCGCAUGAACAAUUAAUAUCUUAAGGACAGUGUCCUUUAGGAUCUUUAAAAGAAUACAAAGGCUUUCCAUUAGGUUGAAAGCUUUGUAUGAGAGGAGCUUCAGGGCCGGGGCCUGGACCAUCAAGUGGUUGUAACAUCAUCUGUGUAGAGAAAAUUGGAGGAGUUGGUAAUUGCUUUAAGUGACUGUGAUCAAACUUGAUUUCACUGGUGCCAUCAGCUUUAGUAAUAAUCUGGCUUUUUGUAAAGCGAAUUGGCUGAUCAUGCUGGUGGAUUUGCUCAUAAUUUGUCACCCACUUUUCAGGCAAAAGCUUUAAAAGUUCUUGCUUUGGUAUUUGCUUUGGAACAUGUACACAGUGGGGCUCUUCCUUAGUGUUAACUGAAAUAAGGAGAGAGUCUUCAGAUCCUUGGUUUGAUAAUUUGAAUGCAUGGUCUUGUACCCGAUACACUAUUUGAUAGUGAAGGGUUCCUGUAACAGCAGAUUCAAUCAUUUCUGCCCCAAUGAUCUGAAUCUGAACUUUGAGGGCAUCCAUCAGAUUAGGAUCUUGCAAUGACAUGAUAAAGUUUGGAAACAGAGUUACCAUAGCCAUUCCUGAGCUAAGUGUUGCUUCAACUGUACCAAUACAGGCAUCUUGGUACCGCUUGUAUCUUGAGUCUAAUAGGGCGAUUCUUGACACAACUGGUUUCCCAGAUGUUCCAUGGUAAUUUAGCGCCAAUCUUACUUCUCCAAAAUGGAUGUGAGAGUAUCCAUGAUGGAUCCAUUCUUGGGGAAAGUUUGAAGGGAUUUCAAGAGUAACAAAUUGUUCCUCCUGACCUCCAUAAAUAAGAUGCUUAUCAAACUUUGAUGACUGCACAUAUUCACGUACAUUUUUCCUACUAGUAGUAAGAAGAGACUUGAUACUUUUAAUAGGAG